rnacentral:lncRNA from 1 species
AUUUUUAGUAAAUUUUUGCCGCAUGACCAUAUAUAUAUUUUGUUGUAAGCGGCAUCACUGGCAUUUCUAGUAACAGUAACUGCUACUUGUGUUUUCCUAGUUUGUUAAGUCUUCGAGAAAUGAAAUACGAAACACCACUGCAUGGUACCCUACGGAAAAUGCAGUACGAGUAUAUAAUUGCGCUCUUGUAACCAGCACCCAUUCCGUAGUAAGCGUAAAUAUUGGCUUCAAACCUUUAUUUUUCACUUGCAAUGUGUAGUUACA